rnacentral:rRNA from 1 species
AACGAACGCUGGCGGCGUGGAUUAGGCAUGCAAGUCGAACGAGAAAGUCUCUUCGGAGACUGAGUAGAGUGGCAAACGGGUGAGUAACGCGUGGGGAACCUACCUUUCGGUUGGGAAUAACACUUCUAACGAGGUGCUAAUACCGAAUACGAUCGGUUUGUCGCAUGGCAAACUGAUGAAGGGCGACCUCUGAUUUAAGUUGUCGCCGAAAGAUGGUCCCGCGUCCCAUUAGCUAGUUGGUGAGGUAACGGCCCACCAAGGCACCGAUGGGUAGCCGGCCUUAGCGGGUGUCCGGCCACACUGGGACUGAGAUACGGCCCAGACUCCUACGGGAGGCAG